rnacentral:lncRNA from 1 species
CACAAAGGCUGUGCUUGGACCCAUACCUAUCCUGGUGACAAUCCAGAGGGUGAUAAAUCCCCUUUGCUUCCUGGAAGGUCCUAUGGACUUGCCCAGGCUGAAGUUCAAGAACCUCAUCUUUUGAUCUGACCAACCUAUUCCUUCUGUGUCCUCAAAGGAACAGAGUGCAUCUGUCACAAUACUUAAUCCAAGAGAGCAAGAUAUUAGUCCUUUGUUCAAAGAUGUAUUCUAAUUGCACAGAAUGGUGCAAGAGGAAUGUUGAAUCAAGCGAAAUCUUCAGAUCUGUGCUAUUGUGGUGGAGUGUGCUUUCUCUGGAUCUCUGCCCUCUAGGACUCCUCCGGAAAUCAUGCCACACCAGUGACAUCCAUCAUUGA